AGAGUUUGAUCCUGGCUCAGGAUGAACGCUAGCGAUAGGCCUAACACAUGCAAGUCGAGGGGCAUCAUGGGGUAGCAAUACUCUGAUGGCGACCGGCGGAUGGGUGAGUAACACGUAUGCAACCUACCUACGACAUUGGGAUAACCCGUUGAAAGACGGACUAAUACCUUAUAAUACAUUGGCACCGCAUGGUGAUAUUUGUUAAAGAUUUUAUCGGUUGUAGAUGGGCAUGCGCAUGAUUAGCUAGUUGGGGAGGUAACGGCUUCCCAAGGCAACGAUCAUUAGGGGUUCUGAGAGGAAGGUCCCCCACACUGGAACUGAGACACGGUCCAGACUCCUACGGGAGGCAGCAGUGAGGAAUAUUGGUCAAUGGGCGAUAGCCUGAACCAGCCACGUCGCGUGCAGGAAGACUGUCUUAUGGAUUGUAAACUGCUUUUUCGGUAGAGUAAAGUGCGUCACGUGUGACGUAUUGCAAGUAUACCGUGAAUAAGGAUCGGCUAACUCCGUGCCAGCAGCCGCGGUAAUACGGAGGAUCCGAGCGUUAUCCGGAUUUAUUGGGUUUAAAGGGUACGUAGGCGGGGCGUAUAAGUCAGCGGUGAAAUUUUGCAGCUUAACUGCAAGCUUGCCGUUGAAACUAUCGUUCUUGAGUGUAGAUGAGGUAGGCGGAAUGUGUUGUGUAGCGGUGAAAUGCAUAGAUAUAACACAGAACCCCGAUUGCGAAGGCAGCUUACCGGGUUAUCACUGACGCUGAGGUACGACAGCGUGGGGAUCAAACAGGAUUAGAUACCCUGGUAGUCCACGCCGUAAACGAUGAAUACUCGCUGUUUGCGAUAUACUGCAAGCGGCCAAGCGAAAGCAUUAAGUAUUCCACCUGGGGAGUACGUUCGCAAGAAUGAAACUCAAAGGAAUUGACGGGGGCCCGCACAAGCGGAGGAACA
rnacentral:rRNA from 1 species